rnacentral:lncRNA from 1 species
ACAACCCAUGUUUGGUUGUAGAAUUAGGUCCUGUUUGGAUGCAUAGUUAAAAAGCUUUAUGAAAUUUUUAUUCUAUGAUUUUAGUCUAAAUGAAAUACGGAAUUCUGUAACUAUAAAAAAAUUCCACAGUUUUAUUUUUAAGCUGUUUGAAUACAGAUCAUACAAUUCCCCAGUAUUUAUAACAAUUAAAUUUCUAAAAUUUUAAAAUUCAAAAUUCAAAAUUCAAAAUUUAAAAAUAAAAAUUUAAAAAUUAAAAUUCAAAAUUCAAAAUAUAAAAUUAAAAUUUAAAAUUUUAAAAUA